CGCGGGGUAGAGCAGCUUGGUAGCUCGCAAGGCUCAUAACCUUGAGGUCACGGGUUCAAAUCCUGUCUCCGCAACAUUUUUUUUUACA
rnacentral:tRNA from 1 species